CUAAGAAAUGCUAACACUUCCCUGUGUCUCAUGUCUUCCCUUUAGGUUGUUUCUUUCCUUCUUUUCCCUUUCUGGCUACAAAAUAGUCAUUGCGAGCAACCCACAGUUGAAAGAAAUGUAAAAACCAGAAAAUCAACCACCCAUGAGUCCUCAGAGGCAACAGUUAUUAAGGUUUCUACAUGUUUCCUUUCUAGUUUUUCUCUCUGUAUGCAUUUCUUUAUGGUGUUGACACCAUCCCAUAUGUGUUAUUUUUGUUGCUCUUUCUUUUUUCUCUAAUAUUGUGAUAUAAGAAUUUCCCCAUGGUAUAAAAACAUCUUCUUGAGCCUACUUUAAAUGGAUGCAUAGUAUUCCACUGGGUGUGAAUGUUCCAGAAGUUAUUCAGUCCCUGUCCUUGGACAGUGCAGCUGGCUUCCAAUCCCUUGAAUGUUCUAAAUCACAAGGGGCCUGCCUUUUGGCUACAUCUCCUUUGAUUUGCAGCUGUGGUUGGGAAAGAAGCAUGCUUUUCCUUUGUCUAGGUUCCCUUACCUUUAGUAUUAUUUCUCUAACUUAAAAUCACUAGCAGCUCUGAUUGGAGAAGGGUGGGAAUAACAAGAAAUGCCUUAACAAUGGAGCAGCAGAGAUUGGAAACAAAGCAAAUGUAUUUGUUCUCUCACAUCUGUCCUGCAUUUUCCUGGAGGUUCUAGCCAGUGUACACAGGGAAAAAAGAAAAUAAAAGGCAUACAGUUCGGAAAGGAAGAAAUAAAACUGCCUUGAUUCACAGAUGACAUGAUUCUGUUGGAGAAAAUCGUAAGGGAGCCACAAGAAAAAAAAAAUACUAGAACUAAUAAGUUUAGUAAGAUUACAGGAUACAAGAUCGAUAUAAAAAAUCAACUGUUGGGGCGCCUGGGUGGCUCAGAUGGUUAGGCGUCUGCCUUCAGCACAGGUCAUGAUCCCAGGGUCCUGGGAUCGAGCCCCGCAUUGGGCUCCUGGCUCAGCGGGGAGCCUGCUUCUCCCUCUGCCUCUGCCUCUCCCCCUGCUCAUGCUCUCUCUCUCUCUGUGUCUCAAAUGAAUAAAUAAAAUAUUAAAAAAAAAAAAAAAUCAACUGUAGAGGCACCUGGCUGGCUCAAUCGGUGGAAUGUGAGACUCUUGAUCUCAGGGUUGUAAGUUCAAGCCUGACAUUGGGCAUGGAGCCUCAUUGAAAAAAAAAAUAAAAUAAAAAAAUAAAAAAUAAAAAUCUUUCUUUAUUAAAAAAAAAAAAUCAGUUGUACCUCUAAAUACUAAGCAUGAACAAUCCAAAAAUGAAAUUAAGAAAAUAAUUCCACUCACAAUAACAUCAAAAAGAAUAAAAUACUUAGGGGCGCCUGGGUGGCUCAGAUGGUUAGCGUCUGCCUUUGGCUCAGGUCAUGAUCCCAGAGUCCUGCGAUCGAGCCCUUCAUCAGGCUCCUGGCUCAGUGGGGAGCCUGCUUCUCCCUCUCCCUCUGCCUUUGCCUCUGCCCCUGCUCAUGCUCUCGCUCUCUCUCUGUAUCAAAUUAAUAAAUAAAAUCUUUAAAAAAAAAAGAAUAAAAUACUUAGGAAUAAAUUGAAUAAAAGAAGUACAAGGUUUAUACAUUAAAACUACAAAACACUGUUGAGAAAAACUAAACCAGCUCUAAAUUAAUGGAGAGACAUUACAUACUCAUGGAUUAGAAGACUCAGUAGUGUUAAAAUGGCACUUCUUACUACUCAGGCAUAAAAAAGAAUGAUAUCUUGCCAUUUGCAAUGACAUGGAUAGAACUAGAGAGUAUUAUGCUAGGUGAAACAAGUCAAAGAAAAACAAAUGCUCUAUGAUUUCAUUCAUAUGUGGAAUUUAAGAAACAAAACAAACGAGCAAAGGGGAAAAAAAAGAGAGGCAAACCAAGAAACAGACUCUUAACUAUAGAGAAUAAACUGAUGGUUUCCAGAGGUGAAAGCGGGGCGGGGGGGGGGGAGGGGGCGGAGAUGGGUAAAAUAGUGAUGGGGAUUGAGGAGUGCACUUGCUGUGAUGAGCACCAGGUGAAGUAUGGAAGUGCUAAAUCACUGUAUUGUGCACUAAAACUAGUAUUACACUGAAUACUAACUGGAAUUUAAAUAAAAACUUAAAAAAAUCUAGGAGAAUAAAUUAGAAUUUGGGGGUCAGGAUGAAUUUCUUAAUAAGAACAACGUGUGUGUGUGUGUGUGUGUGUUAUAUGUGGAAUUUGUAGAAAUUGAUGUGAAAAAGACAAACAACCAUACAGGGAAAAUGGGCAAAGGACAGGAUUGGAAAUACAAAAAAAAAAAGAUAAAUCCCAAUGACAAACAAAAAAUAACAAAAAAAUAAUAAAUAAAUAAAGUGGCAGUUCUUCCCCAAUCGAUCUAUACAUUCAAUAUAAUCUCUGUCAAACUCCUAGUAAGCUUUUUUGUAGAAAUUAACAAGCUGAUCCUAAAUUGUAUGGAGAAAUGCAAGGAACCCAAAAUAGCCAAAACAAUUAUGAAAAAAAAGAACAAAAUUAGAGGCUUAUAGUACCCAUUUCAAAACUUCCUACAAAAGCUACAGUAAUCAAGACUGGCAUAAGGAUAGGCACGUAGACCAGUAGAACAGAAGUGAGGGCCUAGAAAUAAACUUUUGUGAAAUUUAUGGUCAAUUGAUUUUCAGCAAUGGUGCCAAGAAAUUCAAUAGGGACAGGAUAAUCUUUUUAACAGUGUGGGAUAAUAGGAUAUCCAUACACCAAAAAAAAGGGGAAAAAAUUAAGUUGGAUCCCUACUUCACACCAUGCACAAAAAUCAACUCAAAAUGAUCACAGACCUAAACAUAAGAGCUAAAAUUAUAAAACUUCUAGAAGAAAACAGGAGAAAAUCUUUAUGACCAUGAUUUAGGCAGAGAGUUCCUAGAUAUGACACCAAAAGAGAAAAAUUGGUAAGUUGGACUUCAUUAAACUUCCAAACUCUGUACUUCAAAAAAAUCCGGUGAAGAAAAUAAAAAGACAUGUCACAGAUUAGGAGAAAAUAUUUGUAAAUCAUCUCUGACAAGGGACUUGUAUUGAAUCUAUACAAAGAACUCUUAAAACUUAACCAUAAAGAUGUUCCGGUUUAAAAAUAGACAAAAGAGACCUUUACCGGGCUGGGCAGGCAGGCAGGGGUUUGGCUCUGGCAGCGGCGCUGCGAUGUGGUUCGAGAUCCUGCCCGGGAUCGGCGUCAUGGCCGUGUGCUUGGUCAUCCCCGGCAUAGCCACGGCGCACAACCACAGGAAAAAAGGGUUGCCUAUUAUCCGUAUCAGUGGAGUUUGAUGCAAAGAGGUAGGUGGGUCUCUGGAGUUAAUCGUUACUAUGUGUCAAAGGGUUUGGAGAAUAUCGAUUAAGGAAGCAUUUUCCUGAUUGAUGAAAAAUAACUCAGUCAUACUCAUCUACCCCUUCUAGAAGGUUAUGCAGUGUAUUAAUGUAGUGCAUAAUAAAAACAACAAAAAAGUAAAUAAAUAAAUAAAAAUAGACAAAAGAUGUGAAUAGAAAUUUCACCCAAGAAGAUGCAUGAUGGUUAAUAAGCACAUGAAAAGGUGUUCAGCUUCAUUAAUCAUUAGGCAAUCAUUAGGUAAUGAGAAACCUGCACAGCCACUGGAAUGGCUAUAAUCCACAAGAUAGACAAAACCAAGAACUGGUGAGGAUAUGGAGAAACUGGAGCCCUCGCUCUGGUGGGGACACAGGAUGAGAAGCCACUCUGGAAAAUAGUUUGGCACUUUCUUCCACAAGUGAAAUAUGACCACUCUUAGGUAUCUACUCCAGAGAAUUGAAAACUUACAUCCACACAAAGACUUGAAUGUACAUGUUUGUAGCAGUACUAACUCAUAAUAGCCAAAAACUGGAAGCAAUCCAGAUGUCCAUCAUCAGGUGCAUAGAUAAAGAAAAUGUGGAAUACCCAUACAAUAGAAUAUUUUUGACAAUAAAAUGCAGUGAAAUCCUGAUAAAUAUUGCAACUUGGAUGACUCUCAAACACAUGAUGCUAAAAGAAGCCAGAUGCAAAAGGCUACGUGUUGCAUGAUUCCAUCUCCAUGAAAUGUGCAGAAAAGGCAACUUUAUAGAGACAGAGAGCAGAUCAGUGGUUUCCAAGGCCUGAGGACAGUGCAGGCAGAGAUGGACCACACGUUAGGUGGGGGAAAUUUUUGAGGCGAUGGAAAAGUUCUAAAACUAGAUUGUGGUGUUGGCUGCACAACUCUAUAAUUUACUAAAUAUCAUUGAAUUGUGUACUUAGAAUGCGUGGAUUUUAUAAUACAUAAAUUAUACUUCAAUACAUCUUUAAAAAAAUGUAAAGGGGGGCAGUGUGGGGAUAUAUGACCCUUGUCUUGGCAAGAGACCUCAUGGAAGGGCAGAAAAUCACUCCUGAUCACUCCUGAUCACUCCUGUCUUCUCUUUGCCAAACAUGACCUCCUUUCAUCCCUCCAACAACCUUAAGAAAUAGGUUUUAUUAUUCCCAUUGCGUAGGCGAAGAAACAGAGACACAAGAAAGUUACUUACAACAAUAGUAUUGGAGGAUUUGAUGGUUGAAUGCUGGCCUUUUAGGACUUGGCCCUCACAUACCACUUACAGCCUCUCUCUCUCUCUCCUAAGGAUAUCCUUAAAAAGGGAUUGGGGAGUGAAGGGCAGGGAAGGUCACCCAGGCACAAAGGUACUACUACUGCCUCCCAACUCUCAGAGGAAAUUUCAGAUCUUCUCCUCUUUGUGUCUUUUCAAACCUCUAGAGCCUAAAAGUCCUUUGUCCAGGCCUUGCUGGCAAGAACUUCGGACCUCUGGGGUUAUCUUGGCCAGCUGGGGAUUUCCACCUGGUACCUUCCCUAGCAACUAUUGUCUCUCAGCCCAAAGUGUGCUAUCCUGCUUCUUACCCCGGCCCACCCAGCUUCUCCCCAGAGUGACACUUUAUACCCAGGACUUCACGAACCUCCAGAUACUUGAUUUGGAAAAGGAGAUUUAAAAUCAUGAAAUGAGGGGCACCUGUGUGGCUCAGUUGGGCAUCCAACUCUUGAUUUUGGCUCAGGUUGUGAUCUUGGGGGUCGUGGGAUCGAGCCCCGAGACUCCAGGCUCAGCAGGAAGUGUGCUUGAGGUUCUCUCUCUCUCCCUCUCCCUCUGCCCAUCUACCCCCAAAAUAAAUAAAUAAAUCUUUUUUAAAAAUCCUGAAAUAAAAAGAGAUAGCAGCAGCUGCCUGCAUCUGGCUGAUGCUUGGAAUGGUAUAGAGAUCAUGAAUUCACCUGGUUUCACCAUAGGGAAGAAGUGGCUUAUGUCAGAUGAGCCACAUGAAAGUUACCACUCCGUGCAAUUAAUGCAUCAUAAGAAGCAGAACAGAGCAGAUAUUUUGGGGUUUGGGUUGGCCAAAUUCCCCGGCUUGGCUUCAAGGGAACUGCCCUCCUGGAAGGAGAUGAAACUAUCUAUUCCAAGGUUUGCAAAAUCUUUUACAGACUACACAGACUUUUACUUAACAUUUGAGUAUCUGUUAUUGGCAUUGUUUUGAGCUGACUUAAGCCAAUUUAACCUAUAACUAUUAGCUUUAUUUUAGUAGAAAUUGGUAGUCUCCAAUAGAUAAAGAUAGAGAAAGGCUGUAGGUAUCCCAAACCUAAUUCCAACUAGGAAGAAACUUUCUGCUCUACUAGACCUAUUAUAAAGUUACAGUAAUUAACAUAGUGUGGUGUUGGCACAAGGAUAGGCAGACCAUUGGAACUAAAUAGAGAAGCCAGAAACAGACCUGUGUGUAUUUGAACACUUAAAUACUGACAAAGGCAGCGUUGCCGAUCAUUGAGGAAAGGUUGGCUUCCUCAGUAAGUGGGGAUCUUUAUGGGGGAAAAAAAAUGGUAACUAACCCCUGCCUCACACCAUACGUGUAAUCAUUUCCAAGGAAAUUAAAGACCUAAAUGUAAGAGGCAAUAGUAUAAAAGGUUUUAUUUAUUUAUUUUUUUUUAAAGAUUUUAUUUAUUUAUUUGAGACAGAGAGAAUGAGAGACAGAGAGCAUGAGAGGGAGGAGGGUCAGAGGGAGAAGCAGACUCCCUGCCGAGCAGGGAGCCCGAUGCGGAACUCGAUCCUGGGACUCCAGGAUCAUGACCUGAGCCGAAGGCAGUCGCUUAACCAACUGAGCCACCCAGGCGCCCCGUAUAAAAGGUUUUAAAAGAUAAAAAUAGGGGGGAAAAAACUUUAUAAUCUCUAGGUAUAGAGGGAUUUUUAAAGACAAAGUACCAGCCAUUAAAAGAUUGAUUUAUUUGACUACAUUAAAUUUAAGAACCUCUGUUCAUUGAAGAACACAGUGAAAACAAAACUUGGCCAAAUACUGCCACAUAUACAAGCAUUAUCAAGCAGCUCCCUAAACAGCCUCUCAAGUUGUUCUGUAAGCUUAUUGAAACACCAGCUGUCAGUCUGACACCACUUUGCAUGGACAUUUCCUCGAGACAAAUGGAAUGAUAUCCCAGUGCCAGGAUCUGCUAAUCCCACCCUGGUCUGACAUUUAAAUCCCCUAGAAGAAACAGAACACAGAGGAUUCAGAAUCCUAGACCCUGGGCACCAUUUUGGAGGAUGGACUUGGCACGUUCUUUUCAUGCAAGGGCCAGAGUAUCUGAGAAUAUUUCUAGAAUAUCCCUCAUUUCACCAGUAAAGAAUAUCAUUUCUAACAACUGUUGUGCUGGUGGAUAAAGGCUACAGUGUUGGUCAGAGGUCAAGAUAACUGAAGCCAUGAGAUAGCCUUUUCUAGAGUGAGGACUUGUGAUGAGAGUUCUUUACUUGCCAAAGUGUUCAUUUCUGAUGAAGAUUGAAAUUUUUACUAACCAUCAUUGGGGUGUAGCUUAAAUCUAACACACACACACAUACACACACAGACAGACACACACAUGAGUGUGUUUGCCCAUACUGUGGUAUUUUGAACUAAAUGAUAGGCAGUCUAAUAACAGUGUUUACCAGACUCCAGCCAUUUGAGACCUCCUGUCAAGAUGUUUACUGUAUACUACCACCUGUAUUAUUAUUAUUAAAAUUAACUCACUUUAACUUCUUAAAAAUAAUACAUUUUAGAGGAAAUUUUAUAAUACAUCAUAAUAUAAAACUGCUAAAACUUGCCAAAAAUAAAAGAGCAAUGAAACAAUAGCAACAAAGGAUAUGUCUUUAAGUCAAGCCAGCUGCUGCCUGCCUACCCAAAGCCCCGAACUACCUGGUCCUGCUCUUUUUCUUUUUUCUUUUUUAAGGUUUAUUUAUUUAUUUUAGAGCAUGUGCCAGUGAGGGCUGGGGGAGGGGCAGAGGGAGAGAAUCUUCAAGCUGAUCCCCCGCUGAGCACCGAGCCCCACGCAGGGCUCAAUCCCAUGACCCAUAAGGUCAUGACCUGAGCCAAAACCAAGAGUUGGAUGCUCAACUGACUGAGCCACCCAGGUGCCCCAACCUGGUCCUGCUCUUAAAGAGACAAGUUAGAAAAGCUUUUUCUUCCAGGAAUUUCCCAGUUUUAGGUCUUAUGUUUAAGUCUUUAAUCCAUUUGGAGUGGAUUUUUGCGUGUGGUGUAAGAUAAGGGCCCAGUGUCAUUCUUUUGCAUGUGGAUGUUGUUCUCCCAGCACCAUUUGUUGAAGAGACUGUCCCUUUCCUGUUAUAUGUUCUCGGUGCCUUUGUCAAAGACCAGUUGCCUAUAUGUGUGGAUUUAUUUGAGGGCUUUUGGCAGUGAUUUCAUGGAUAUGAUACCAAAAGCAGAGGCAACAAAAAUAAAAAUAAACUAGUGGGACUACAUCAAACUAAAAAGCUGCACAAUAAAGGAAAUAAUCAACAGAGUAAAAAAGCAACAUACAAAAUGGAAGAAAAUAUUUGCAAAUCAUAUAUCUGUCAAGGGGUCAAUCUCAAAUAUAUAAAGAACCCAUAUAUCUCAAGAGUAAAAAAGCUAAUAACCUGAUUUAAAAAUGGGCUAAGGCCUUGAAUAGACAGUUCUCCAAAGAAGAUACACAAAUAACCAACUGGUAUAUGAAAAACUGCUUAAUGUCACUCAUCAUCAGGGAAAUGCAAAUCAAAACCACAAUGUGAUACCACCUCACAUUUGUCAGGAUGGCUAUUAUAAAAAAACAAAAACAAAAAACAAGUGUUGGUAAGGAUAUGGAGAAACUGGAACACUUGCAUACUGUUGGUGGGAAUGCGAAAUGCAGCCCCUAUGAAAAACAGUAUGGAGGUUCCUCAAAAAAUUAAAAAUAGUGCUACCAUAUGAUCCAGCAAUCCCACUUCUUGGUAUACAUCCAAAGAAAUUGAAGUCAGGAUCUGGAAGAGAGAUUAGCACUCCCAUGCUAGCACUAUUCCUGAUAGCCAAGAUGUAGAAACAACCUGAACGUGGUAUAUACAUACAACAGAAUACUAUUCCACCUUUUGAAAGGAUAUUCGACAAUAUGUCACAAUGUGGAUGAACCUUAAGGACGCUUUACGAAGUGAAAUAAGCCAGUCGCAGAAAGAUAAAAUCCCACAUGAUUCCACUUACAUGAUCUGAAAUAGUCAAGCUCAGAAUCACAGAGCAAAAUGGUAGUUGCUGGGGGCCGGAGGGACAGAAAAACGGGGCGUUACUAACCGACGGGUAUAAAGUUGCGGCCAAGCAAGAGGAGUAAGCUCUAGAGAUCCACAGUACAACACCCAAUAAUACUGUAUUGUGCACUUAAAAUUUGUCACGAGGAUAGAUCUCGUGGUGAGUGUUCUUAUCACACUGAAAUAAAAUUUUAAAAAUAUAAUGAGAGAAAAGUGGUAAUUCGCUGGGGCAUUCAUUUUGAAGUUCAAGAGGAUUGAAAGAACUGAGAAAACCCAACUCCCUCACUAGGCGAGGCAUUGUUAUUUAGCAGAGCCGUCUUGCUGGCUCUAGAAUCACCUCCCGGAACCACUACACUACUGUACUUGAUUAAUACAGUACCGAGAGACAAAGAGUUAAUGUUGUCAAGCAGCUAGUGUAUGAUGGAAAUCUUAAAGCCACUUCCUCACUUAUUCUGUAGCACAACCUUCCAAGGUGGGUGUUUGUGAUUUCCAUUUUACAGAUGAGCAAACUGAAGCUCAGAGAGGUGCUGGGACAUGGCCAGAGCGAGAAUCAGGAGCUGGGGCUAUCUGACCUUUAUCAUGACUCUCAGCAAACAGGACUCUUUCUGCUCACCUCUCCUCUCAUCCCUGCAUCGACCAGCCACAUCUAUCCAAAGGGCCAGGAUUCUCUCCGGGACAGAACUGAGUUUUCCUGGAACUGUGGUUCUUUGUUUUUACUGACCGAACACAAGACAGUUCUGGAGUAUUUCAGAAGCAGAAUUAUUUCUCUGCCCCAGGUCAUGUUUUUAUGUUAGCCUGUCCUUCCAAAAUGAAAGGGGUAAACAUCAAAGCAUUCAGUGCCGCCUUUUAUUAGUAACUUGGCUGUAUUUUAUGGUUUAGGGAUUUGGCUUUUACUUCCUAGGAAUUGCUCAAAACCAAAAGGGAACUUGGCAUUGUCAGGAGGUUUCCGUGGGCCUCGUUGUCCCUUCCCUCACUGGUCCUUUAGGAGCCUCUGAUCAUUUCAGCAGGGAGCACCCCGGGAGCCCCCCCGUAGGUGGAGCCAUGGCCACCUCAGGGCCCACCCUGCUCUCCCUCAUGGCAUUGGUCCAGGGAAUACUUUCAACCAGGCAUCAGGGGCUCCCCAACACUAUCUAGACCUCUGGGAAGGUGCAGGAGAAACAGCCACAUACCCCUGCCUUCUGUGGGUUCGGGGUGGAGGAGCUGGAGUCGGCCAGCCCUGGGCUCUCCAGUCCUACUUACUUCGCCAGAUCUUCCAUUUCCCCAUCUCCGAAAUGGGCCAGCCCUCCCAGGACUGCAUGGAAUGACACAGACGAACGCCUUCUGGGAGCCGUCGAGUGCUGAGCCGACAUAAGGGAAUGGUGUUCUUGCAGUCUGGGGGCAACCGCAAGAUCUCUGCACACAAAGCAGCCAGGACACACCACGGUCCAGCAUAUAAUCAGCUCCUUCAUUAUGUGGUUCUAACUGUACGAACUACAGGAUUUCAGAGGAAAGCGAGACCAGCAGGGGCCCCGAAGACAGCAGCUCGUCCCAAGCAGAAUGAAUCCUCCAAACCAGAAAGAGAAGAAGGUCAGAAGCUAGAGGCAGGGGAGGGAAGCGCCUGCUCUCUCUCUUGGCCUCUCUGCCUCUGGCUUGGAAAAGAUCAGUCCCUGGGGAUUUGCUGCAGAGCAGGAGCUACUUCAGUAAAAUCAAUGAGCCACAGAUAGCAGGCCCUUCUGGGGUGAAGAGCUUGGACAGUGACUAGGGAAAUCACCCUGCUAAAACAAGUCCACCGACCUCACGUCUUCUUCAGCUUUAGGUAUGAGACAGCUUGAACCUGGGGGUCUGGCUUAAAGUCAGAGCCAGACUCAAAGGCCGUAUAGGGUCAGCUACCCAGGUGACCAUCAGUGGGUGAAUGAAUAAACAGGAUGUGGCAUAGCCAGGGACACCUGGGUGGCUCAGUCGUUAAGCGUCUGCCUUCGGCUCAGGUUGUGAUCCCAGAGUCCUGGGAUCAAGUCCCACAUCAGGCUCCUUGCUCAGUGAGGAGCCUGCUUCUCCCUCUCCCUCCUCUGCUGCUCCCCCUGCUUGUGCUCUCUCUCUCUCUGACAAAUAAAUAAAAAUCUUUAAAAAAAAAAAAAAAAAAGAAUGUGGCAUAGCCAUAGGGUGGAAUAUUAUUCAGCCUUGAAAAGGAAGGAAAUUCCAGCACCUGCUACAGCAUAGAUGAACCUUGAGGCCAUUAGCUAAAUACAAGCAGCCUGGCAUAAAAGGACAAAUAUUGUAUGAUUCCACUUAUAUGAGGUACUUGGAGUAAUCAAAUUCAUACAGACAGAAGGUAGAACAGUUGCCAGGAGCUGAGGGAAGGAGGAAUUAUUUAAUAGGUACAGGGCUUCAGUUUUGCAAAAUAGAAAGCAUUCUGGGGAUGGUUCCCUAACAAGGCAAAUGUACUUAAUACCACUGAACUGUAUGCUUAAAAAUGCUAAAGAUGAUAGGGUGCCUGGAUGGCUCAGUCUGUAGAGCAGGUGACUCUUGGUCUCGUGGUCAUGAGUUUGAGCCCCACAUGGGGCAUGGAGCCUACUUAAAAAAAUGAUUAAGAUGGCAAAUUUUAUGUGUUAUUUUACCACAAUUAAAACUUUUUACUUAUUUAUUUAUUUAUUUAUUAGAUUUUAUUUAUUUUGACAGAGCAUGAGCAGGGGGGAGGGGCAAAGGGAGAGGGAGAAGAGGCUCCCAGCAGAGCAGAGAGACCCACGUGGGGCUCGAUCCCAGGAACCUGGGAUCACGACCUGAGCCAAAGGCAAACACUUAACCAACUGAGCCACCCAGGCGCCCCUAAAACUUCUUAAAAAUCAGAAAAAUAAGUCAAAAUACCCCUGAAACCUUGAGGAAGGGACCACUGGAGACCCCCAUCCGUCUCUCCAUUAGUCCAUCGUAUGCCAGGAGCAGCGUUGGAGGACCACUUUGCAGGGGAUGAAUGGGAGGUGAGCUUUUAGAGGUUUGUUAUCUAGCAAAUAUAGGACAUGUUUUUUUCCACUCCCAACUCACUCAACGCUUGCAGGAGGCUCAUGAGAGGCACCCCGGAACUGAGGCCUUCUGUGGAGAGGAGCAGGGUCUUGCCUCCCUCCAGAGCAGGAACUGGCGGGCUGAAAUGACGGGCAGAAUUGCCCAUGCUCUUGACGUCUGGGCAUGUGCGCAGGCGCGCUCCCUGCACAGAAGUUUGUACGAGAAUGUGUGCAUGACGCAGCUCUCCUGCACUGCGAUCUGCAUCCUCAGGCCCCGGGCCAGAAGGGGCUUAAAUAAAGAUCUGUUGAACUAAGCUGUUUAUUCAUGAUGGAGCUUCGUCUUAGUUUCAUAUUCUUUCAGGAUCGGGAUGUACACAUCCUUCUCUCAUAUUGGACACAGACACCAGUGCAGUGCUGGGCCCAGAAAUCAUGUCUGUUGAAUCAUUGAAUGGAUACCUGUUGGGAGAUGAACGGGCAUAACGAAUGCCUAGUCCCCGUGGUGCCCUCCACCCACUCCUUAUCCAACCCGCUGGCAGACACCUGAGGCUCCUUUAACUGAUGAGCUAGGAUGGCAAAUUAAUAUGGACUGGGGCAGUGACAGAUGCCAGAUGUUUCUAGCCCUCAGUAGCCUGGACACUUCUAACCUCUACCCAAAUCAUAAAGCAGUGCCCUCGCUGUAACACUGCAGCUCUGUGAGUUAAGACACGCAUGCAGGCAUGUUGGAAACCAGCUUAGCGUUCACCAGUAGGCAGCUGGGUCAAUAAAAUACGAUACGUUUGUGCAAUAGACACCCUCAAGAUCCAGUAGACAUGAAGUCAUAGAAGAAUAAUGACAUGGCAUGAAGUCCCUAGUUUAGUGUUUUAGAUAAAUGUAUACAUAUUCUUUGCUCAGAUAUGCCCAUAACAUGUAUGUGCACGCCUGUGUGUGUGUGUGUGGUCCCCAAACCAGCAGCAACACCAGGGAACUUGUCAGAUAUGCACAUUCUCAGGCCCCACCCCAGACCUACUGAAUCAGAAAAUCUGGGACCCAACCGUCUGAUUUCACAAGCCCCCCAGGUGAUUCUUAUCAUACCCAAGUUUGAGAAGCCCUGACUCAUGGCAUUCCUGACACCCCUCUCCUUCCUUUGGACUCAUUUGUGUCUCUUCUCCAGGCCCUGAUCCAGCUGCCCCCCUAUAUCUCUCAGUGUGAUGAGGUGCUGCAGUUCUUUGAGACAAGACCCGAGGACCUGAAUCCCCCCAAAGAG